AACUUUUAGUAAUGGAUCUCUUGGUUCUGGCAACGAUGAAGAACGCAGCGAAAUGCGAUAAGUAAUGUGAAUUGCAGAAUUUAGUGAAUCAUCGAAUCUUUGAACGCACAUUGCGCCCAUUAGCUAUUCUAGUGGGCAUGCCUGUUCGAGCGUCAUUACAACCCUCAAGCGCUUUUAUGUGCUUGGUGUUGGGGCUUCCGCCGGCUCAGCCGACGGGCCUCGAAAGUCAGUGGCGGGCCCGCCGCGACCCUGAGCGCAGUAGCAUACACAAUCGCUUCUGCGGCUCGCGGUGGGUUCCCAGCCGUGAAACACCCCUCCCCUAUUUCUCACAAUAAGGUUUGACCUCGAAUCAGGUAGGAAUACCCGCUGAACUUAAGCAUAUCAAUAAGCGGAGGCU
rnacentral:misc_RNA from 1 species